ACUCCUACGGGAGGCAGCAGUGGGAAUCUUAGACAAUGGGGCAAGCCCUCGAUCUAGCCAUGCCGCGUGAGUGAUGAAGGCCUUAGGGUUGUAAAGCUUCUUUCAGCUAGGGAAGAUAAUGCGGUGACCAGCAGAAGAAGCCCCGGCUAACUCCGUGCCAGCAGCCGCGGUAAUACGGAGGGGCUAGCGUUGUUCGGGAAUUAC
rnacentral:rRNA from 1 species